rnacentral:rRNA from 1 species
AUGGACGAUCCACCUCCGCCACCGGCGAACUAUCCUCGCAAGCAUGGAGGAUUCACAUCAACCUUCAACAAACCUUCACCGUUUGUGCGUUCCGCUGCACCCAUGCGAUCUGUGGUGUACCCUGCGACAACGCCGCCCAAGAAAGCGCCAGCGCCGCCAGAGCCGCCCCAGUGCACAGCACUGAGCCCGCCAUGCCCUCCGCGCAGGAGAAACUCGCUGGCAGCAGCUCAAACCGCGGCGGCCAUCGAGCUGAGGAGAUCGGGGAUCGGUCCCCCACCGGGGCUUCCGCCUGUGCCACGCUUCGACCCAGCGCCCCACUACUUCCAACCAUUCACCCGCGCACCAGCAGCUCAAUCUGGCUGGACUCAACCCACAGGAAUGCUGAAAUCCUCACCGCCGCCUGGACCUUCUUCCUCAGGCACAUCAAUGGAGGCUAUAUCCAGACAAAGCACAACCAGGCUGCUCUUGCAACCAGUCGCUCCAUCUGCCCAACAACCCACGGUAAGUUCAUUUACCCAACCUUCACAUACAGCUACGCGUAAGGCCACCUAG